AACUCGACUACAUGAAGCUGGAAUCGCUAGUAAUCGCGGAUCAGAAUGCCGCGGUGAAUACGUUCCCGGGUCUUGUACACACCGCCCGUCACACCAUGGGAGUCGGGAAUGCCCGAAGCCAGUGACCCAAGCGAAAGCAGGGAGCUGUCGAAGGCAGGCCGGAUAACUGGGGUGAAGUCGUAACAAGGUAGC
rnacentral:rRNA from 1 species